GGAAUUUUUGUCAAUGGGGGAAACCCUGAACAAGCAACGCCGCGUGAAGGACGAAGACCUUCGGGUUGUAAACUUCUGUCGGAGGGGACGAAAGCGGUCGCGGCGAAUACCCGUGGCCGUCGACGGUACCCUCCGAGGAAGCCCCGCCUAACCCCGUUCCAGCAGCCGCGGGAAUACGGGGGGGGCAAGCGUUGUUCGGAAUUACUGGGCGGAAAGGGCGCGCAGGCGGGCGGGCAAGUCUCUCGUGAAAGCCCACGGCUCAACCGUGGAAUUGCGGGAGAUACUGCUCGUCUUGAGUCCGGGAGAGGAGUGUGGAAUUCCCAGUGUAGCGGUGAAAUGCGUAGAUAUUGGGAGGAACACCGGUGGCGAAGGCGGCACUCUGGACCGGUACUGACGCUGAGGCGCGAAAGCUAGGGGAGCAAAC
rnacentral:rRNA from 1 species